UACGUAGGGACCAAGCGUUGUUCGGAUUUACUGGGCGUAAAGGGCGCGUAGGCGGCAUGACAAGUCACUUGUGAAAUCUCUGGGCUUAACUCAGAACGGCCAAGUGAUACUGUCGCGCUAGAGUGCAGAAAGGGCAAUCGGAAUUCUUGGUGUAGCGGUGAAAUGCGUAGGUAUCAAGAGGAACACCUGAGGCGAAGGCGGGUUGCUAGGCUGACACUGACGCUGAUGCGCGAAAGCCAGGGGAGCAAACGGG
rnacentral:rRNA from 1 species